CUUUUAUUUCAAAUUUCUUUCCCCUUUUUCUUCUCCAUCGGUUUACUCUGCCUCUCAUCUCCCCUUCUCUUCUUCGUCUUCCUCAAACCCUGCGAUUUCCUAUCUCUCAAAUUCCGUUUCGCUCUUCCUAUACCUCCAAAAUUUCGCUCUUCCUCUCUAACGUGAAGCAGCCAAGAAACUCUAUCUUGCGACAUACCCAUCUCGUCGAUCCACCACUUUCUUCUUCUUCUAGCCUUAACGGUGCCGAAAUCAAGGGCCGCAGACCCACUCGGAAACCCAAGUCUUCCAAAGAAAAUUCUCCACCCUCAGAUCGGUUUUCGAUUCCAAAUCCUGAAGAGCCCGCUUCCACCUAGGCCUCCCUCUUCUAACCCGACCGUUCCUGAGAGUUCGCUAUCACAUACUGCUUUUUUUACCUGUGUUGUUGAAUCCCGAUCCAAGAGACUGGCAGAUGGUUUAAGUAGCUGGUUCCGGAGGCAGAAGCUAACAGGUGCAGCUGGGGAGCGCUUGAAGGAAGCACGCAAUAUCAACCGAUCACUCUCACAACUCGGAUCGGAAUGAUGUUGCUCAUCUGAAAGAAGGCAGCAUCAUGUGCUUGAAGACUUGUAGAGUAUGGAGAGUGAAUGGUCAAAUUUGAGGAAUCGUAUCUGCUAGCUUUGUAGUCCAAACAGGAACAAGGAUGAAUAAUCAAAGAAAAAGGAAUGAAAAGGUUUAUCCAUGCAAGCUUCAAACCAAAGUCAAGGAUGUCGAUCCUUCCAGGGGAGUCCAUAGUUCCCCCCUUAUU